rnacentral:rRNA from 1 species
CCUACGGGUGGCUGCAGUAGGGAAUCUUUCACAAUGGGCGAAAGCCUGAUGGAGCAACGCCGCGUGCAUGAUGAAGGCCUUCGGGUUGUAAACUGCUUUUAUAAGCGAGGAAUAUGAUGGUAACUUAUGAGUAAGGAUCGGCAAACUACGUGCCAGCAGCCGCGGUAAUACGGAGGAGGCGAGCGUUGUCGGGUGUUAUUGGGUUUAAAGGGUGCGUAGGCGGGCUGUUAAGUCAGGGGUAAAAGCUCGGGGCUCAACCCCGGCGAGCCUUUGAAACUGGCUGUCUUGAGAUGUCGAGGGGUAUGCGGAAUGCGCAGUGUAGCGGUGAAAUGGUUAGAUAUUGCGCAGAAAUCAGAGUGCGAAGGCAGCAUACCGGCGGUGAUUGACGCUGAUGCACGAAAGCGUGGGUAUCAAACAGGAUUAGAUACCCCAGUAGUC